rnacentral:lncRNA from 1 species
AUCAAGAAAGAUGCGCAACGGUGCAGUACUGUAUGUUAUUCACCCUCUUAACACUGUUAGAAAAGCUGAG